CCGGCAACGAGCGCAACCCACAUCUUCAGUUGCCAUCAGGUUAUGCUGGGCACUCUGGAGAAACUGCCCGUGAUAAGCGGGAGGAAGGUGUGGAUGACGUCAAGUCCUCAUGGCCCUUACGGGUUGGGCUACACACGUGCUACAAUGGUAGUGACAAUGGGAAAAUCCCAAAAAGCUAUCUCAGUUCGGAUUGGGGUCUGCAACUCGACCCCAUGAAGUCGGAAUCGCUAGUAAUCGCGUAACAGCAUGACGCGGUGAAUACGUUCCCGGGCCUUGUACACACCGCCC
rnacentral:rRNA from 1 species